UACAGAGGUCCCGAGCGUUGUUCGGAUUCAUUGGGCGUAAAGGGUGCGUAGGCGGCUGGGCAAGUCUGAUGUGAAAUCCCGGGGCUCAACCCCGGAACUGCACUUGAUACUGCUUUGCUAGAGUACUGGAGAGGAGAUUGGAAUUUACGGUGUAGCAGUGAAAUGCGUAGAUAUCGUAAGGAAGACCAGUGGCGAAGGCGAAUCUCUGGACAGUUACUGACGCUGAGGCACGAAGGCCAGGGGAGCAAACGGG
rnacentral:rRNA from 1 species